GAUUGAACGCUGGCGGCAUGCCUUACACAUGCAAGUCGAACGGCAGCACGGGAGCAAUCCUGGUGGCGAGUGGCGAACGGGUGAGUAAUAUAUCGGAACGUGCCCAGUCUGGGGGAUAACGUAGCGAAAGCUACGCUAAUACCGCAUACGAUCUAUGGAUGAAAGCGGGGAUCGCAAGACCUCGCGCGAUUGGAGCGGCCGAUAUCAGAUUAGGUAGUUGGUGAGGUAAAGGCUCACCAAGCCGACGAUCUGUAGCUGGUCUGAGAGGACGACCAGCCACACUGGGACUGAGACACGGCCCAGACUCCUACGGGAGGCAGCAGUGGGGAAUUUUGGACAAUGGGCGCAAGCCUGAUCCAGCAAUGCCGCGUGCAGGAUGAAGGCCUUCGGGUUGUAAACUGCUUUUGUACGGAACGAAACGGUGAGCUCUAAUACAGUUUGCUAAUGACGGUACCGUAAGAAUAAGCACCGGCUAACUACGUG
rnacentral:rRNA from 1 species